rnacentral:rRNA from 1 species
UACAGAGGGUGCAAGCGUUGUUCGGAAUUAUUGGGCGUAAAGGGCGCGUAGGCGGCCACGCACGUCCGUUGUGAAAUCGCCCGGCUCAACUGGGCGGGGUCAGCGGAUACGGUGUGGCUCGAGCAAGCUAGGGGGCAAUGGAAUUCCCGGUGUAGUGGUGGAAUGCGUAGAUAUCGGGAGGAACACCAGUGGCGAAGGCGGUUGCCUGGAGCUUGCUGACGCUGAUGCGCGAAAGCGUGGGGAGCGAGUCCGG